rnacentral:rRNA from 1 species
UACAGAGGGUGCGAGCGUUAAUCGGAAUUACUGGGCGUAAAGCGUGCGUAGACGGUUAUUUAAGUCGGAUGUGAAAGCCCCGGGCUCAACCUGGGAAUUGCAUUCGAGACUGAAUAGCUAGGGUGCGGUAGAGGGAAGCGGAAUUUCCGGUGUAGCGGUGAAAUGCGUAGAUAUCGGAAGGAACAUCAGUGGCGAAAGCGAGUCCCUGGACAACACCUGACACUGAGGCACGAAAGCUAGGGGAGCAAACAGG